UAAUUCUGCCUAGGCAAUCCAGAUAUAGCAACACUGUGCUAGCACAUGAAAAAAAUCAGAUCACCACUGGUCAGUACUUGAAUGGGAGAUCUCCAGGGAAGGCCCAACCUGCUGCAGAAUAGU
rnacentral:rRNA from 1 species